GCUAAAGCAAGAAUCCUAUUCGAGGUUCUGUUGUUGCAACGGACGACGAAGUAUGCGUAACUAUAAGCUGCAAAAGUUGCAUUGGCUUGCAACUGUAAAUUGCAUCAGAUGCAAUGAAGUGUGACUAAAAGUUAUGUAAGUUACAAAUGGCUUGUAACUGUAUGCUGAACAAACUGCAAUGGCUUGCGGGCUCUAGCAGCCGUUUCCGCUGCUCUAGCUUGUAGCUGUAAACUGAUAAGCUUCAAUAGCUUGUGACUUGUAAAAAUAGUGCUUUCGUUCGUAUGUCGAUGUUCAUGCGAUUAGUCCCUGCAAGGAAGAGCAAGAUCUGUGAACUGUGGUUAACAGUUGGCUGUUUUACUGAUUGCUAGUGGUUAAAAUUCUGUCGUGAGCUGGUGAUAAAAUCCCAAAAUGGCUAAUUACAUAUACCAUUGGCAACGGUUUGCAGCAAGAGCUCAAUGACGAACAACCUUUCUUGUAUUGCGGAUUAAUGAUCUGAUGAAAAGAUAUCCGCUCGACUCAACAAGUAAAUUUGCAACAUAGAGCUGACCAUAAGAGAAACAUGGAUAUGUUAGCUCAACUCCAACAACGCUGAUAAAAUGUAUCCAAGACAUAUUGGUAGCUAUGGGAAAAGAAAGUGUCGUUGGAAACUAAAACCACUUCAACUGAAAUGUAUGUCUGAGAUGAUGCGAAGAAUGUGUAAAAUGAAAGCGUUUUCAUCAAGGAACAACCAAUCAUUGGGCCUUGUCAAUGACAUGUACAUACCGUCACAUGCAUAAAUGAAAUCUGUCACCACCGAUAUUGAUAGGAAACAGUGGUCAAUACAUUCACUGACAUUGCCAAUAGCUGCUGAGCUGAAUAAAAAUUCGUUGCACACGAUA